rnacentral:lncRNA from 1 species
UUGUAUAUUGUAAUGUUUUUAAUCUGAUCAGAGAAUUCCUUGUUUUCCCCAUAUUUAAGGAAAGUCUGCUAUUGAAAGGUUCCAAAUAGUCUUAAUAAUAAAAUUCCAACAGGUAUCACAAUGUCUCUGGUUAAGAUAAGCAAUUGAAUAUGCACAGUUCCAGAUCAAAUGUGAGCUUUUCCUUUAUGCCCAACACUCACUGAAGUCAGUGACUGUUCAGUUGAGUUUAUCUGGAGGGGAGAUAAAAGUUUCCUG